ACUUGGAAGCACCUUCUCUGUUUCUCAGGUGGUGAAAAGAGGUACCAAACACCAUGGAAAAUCUGUGUUUUCCUCUUUGGCUUUCUAUGCUAGCAAAGCUCCAACUAAUUUCUGAUCUGUGAAGACAACAGUAGAUGAAGAACAAAAGUGAAGGAUACUUCUGCAGCGCUGAGAGUUGGAUACUCCACAGGAAUCAGAGACAAUUGGGUUAGAAUCCAGGAGAGUGGUUCAAGUGGAACAAGAAAAAUAGCCUCAGAAAUGAUGGGAUGAACCCAGGAAAUGGUUCAGAAAAUGCCAAGACUGUGAGGGCAACCAAGGCAGAAGAGCAGGAACUCGGUUAGAGCUGUAUCAGCCAAGUGGGCCCACCAAACAAGACGCUGCUCCCUGGGAAUAUUCUUCCUGCACCCCCAUGUGGAGCUUGCUCUGCAGCAGCAGCCUUUCACCAUCCUUACAACUGUACAAGCAGAAAAGUAGUGAGCAAACCACCAACAAGGAAGAGAAGUGUGCAAGACUUUUGGAAUGGAGUUGACUAUAAAAACAAUUCUGACAGUCUGACCCAUAUGUUUAGUUGUGGGUUUCAUGUCACAUAAUAUCACAGGCUUUCUGCUUUCAUGCAUUAACCCUAACAAGAAAAAACUAAUGGGGAUGUGAUUUGACCCAUCACAGAGUGUUCACAACAAAAUUACUGUAUUUGGGUUUUGGGUUGUUUUUUUGUUUUUUUUUUUCAAUGCAUAAUGCAAAUAUAAAGCAGGCAAGAAAGACUGAGCAGUGAGGAUUUGCUCUGGUCUGGGCAAGUUUCUGUUGGUAAGUAAUUAAUCUUCCCAAAAGAGACUGCUCUUUCAUUUACCCCAAAACGUACUGUGAUUUAUGUUAUAAAGGAAUAAAGAUUUGUAGGAUGCAUCUGUAGCA
rnacentral:lncRNA from 1 species